rnacentral:rRNA from 1 species
UUAACCGGAUUAGAUACCCUGGUAGUCCACGCCGUAAACGUUGGGCGCUAGAUGUGGGGACCAUUCCACGGUUUCCGUGUCGCAGCUAACGCAUUAAGCGCCCCGCCUGGGGAGUACGGCCGCAAGGCUAAAACUCAAAGGAAUUGACGGGGGCCCGCACAAGCGGCGGAGCAUGCGGAUUAAUUCGAUGCAACGCGAAGAACCUUACCAAGGCUUGACAUAUACGAGAACGGGCUAGAAAUAGUCAACUCUUUGGACACUCGUAAACAGGUGGUGCAUGGUUGUCGUCAGCUCGUGUCGUGAGAUGUUGGGUUAAGUCCCGCAACGAGCGCAACCCUCGUUCUAUGUUGCCAGCACGUAAUGGUGGGAACUCAUAGGAGACUGCCGGGGUCAACUCGGAGGAAGGUGGGGAUGACG